rnacentral:rRNA from 1 species
UACGUAGGUGGCAAGCGUUGUCCGGAUUUACUGGGCGUAAAGGGCGCGUAGGCGGGGAGGUAAGUCGGGUGUGAAAUCCCUCGGCCCAACCGAGGAACUGCGCCCGAGACUGCUUCUCUUGAGUCCCGGAGAGGAAGGUGGAAUUCCCGGUGUAGCGGUGAAAUGCGCAGAUAUCAGGAAGAACACCUAUGGCGAAGGCAGCUCUCUGGGACGGUACUGACGCUGAGACGCGAAAGCGUGGGGAGCGAACAGG